rnacentral:misc_RNA from 1 species
GUAUAUGUUUUAUAGGCACAACAUUCUAUUAACAUACAUUGGGGUAAAUGAAGCAACAUAGACCUGAAAGGUCUACAAAAAGUGCACAGGUGGAGAUAUAAAGAUGACAAGGCGUGCACAUGCUCCCGAGAGAACCAGCAACAACCCGUCAGGUUUAUUUCAAUAAUGAUCCUUCCGCAGGUUCACCUACGGAAA